rnacentral:rRNA from 1 species
ACGGGCAGACUAGAGUGCGGUAGGGGAGAUUGGAAUUCCUGGUGUAGCGGUGGAAUGCGCAGAUAUCAGGAGGAACACCGAUGGCGAAGGCAGAUCUCUGGGCCGUAACUGACGCUGAGGAGCGAAAGGGUGGGGAGCAAACAGGCUUAGAUACCCUGGUAGUCCACCCCGUAAACGUUGGGAACUAGAUGUGGGGACCAUUCCACGGUCUCCGUGUCGCAGCUAACGCAUUAAGUUCCCCGCCUGGGGAGUACGGCCGCAAGGCUAAAACUCAAAGGAAUUGACGGGGGCCCGCACAAGCGGCGGAGCAUGCGGAUUAAUUCGAUGCAACGCGAAGAACCUUACCAAGGCUUGACAUAUACGAGAACGGGCCAGAAAUGGUCAACUCUUUGGACACUCGUAUACAGGUGGUGCAUGGUUGUCGUCAGCUCGUGUCGUGAGAUGUUGGGUUAAGUCCCGCAACGAGCGCAACCCUCGUUCUAUGUUGCCAGCACGUAAUGGUGGGAACUCAUGGGAUACUGCCGGGGUCAACUCGGAGGAAGGUGGGGACGACGUCAAAUCAUCAUGCCCCUUAUGUCUUGGGCUUCACGCAUGCUACAAUGG